rnacentral:tRNA from 4 species
GGCUGGGUAGCUCAGUGGUAGAGCAGGGGAAUCAUAAUCCCUUGGUCGGGGGUUCAAAUCCCUCCCCAGCUACCA